rnacentral:rRNA from 1 species
GACAGAGGGUGCAAACGUUGCUCGGAUUUACUGGGCGUAAAGCGCAUGUAGGCGGGCGAUUAAGUCAGGGGUGAAAUCCCGGGGCUCAACCCCGGAACUGCCUUUGAUACUGGUAGUCUCGAGUCCGGAAGAGGUGAGUGGAAUUCCGAGUGUAGAGGUGAAAUUCGUAGAUAUUCGGAGGAACACCAGUGGCGAAGGCGGCUCACUGGUCCGGUACUGACGCUGAGGUGCGAAAGCGUGGGGAGCAAACAGG